rnacentral:rRNA from 1 species
CCUACGGGUGGCAGCAGUGAGUAAUAUUUUUCAAUUUCCUCGCUUCUGCCCCCGCCCCGUCGCGUGAAGGAUGACUGCCCUAUGGGUUGUAAACUUCUUUUAUAUGGGAAUAAAAUGUUCCACGUGUGGGAUUUUGUAUGUACCAUAUGAAUAAGGAUCGGCUAACUCCGUGCCAGCAGCCGCGGUAAUACGGAGGAUCCGAGCGUUAUCCGGAUUUAUUGGGUUUAAAGGGAGCGUAGGUGGAUUGUUAAGUCAGUUGUGAAAGUUUGCGGCUCAACCGUAAAAUUGCAGUUGAAACUGGCAGUCUUGAGUACAGUAGAGGUGGGCGGAAUUCGUGGUGUAGCGGUGAAAUGCUUAGAUAUCACGAAGAACUCCGAUUGCGAAGGCAGUUCACUGGACUGCAACUGACACUGAGGCUCGAAAGUGUGGGUAUCAAACAGGAUUAGAUACCCCGGUAGUC